GGCUCACUGCAGCUCCAACUCUUGGGCCCAAGGGAUCCUCCCGCCUCAGCCUCUGAGUACCUGGGGCUACAGAUGCAUGGCCACCACACCCAGGGAAAGUGCUUACCUCAACUGCCAAUUUACGGAGGAUCUCUGUGGAUGGUAAAUCAGAGAAGAGUGUGAAAGGAUUAUGAGCAGGAGAAUGACAUAUUUGGACUAUGUCCCAGAGAGACAACACUGAUGAUAAUGAAUAUAAUCGGCUGAAAGAGAACACCAGAACACUGUUUAGAAGGCAACUAUAACAUCUCAAAUUAGUGACGACUGACAUCUGAACCAUGGAGAAGAUUUUCUAAAAUAAAACUAGUAGGAAUUUGUG
rnacentral:lncRNA from 1 species